CGAACGCCCAGCUCACGUCCAAACUCGAGACACUGACGAAGCAGUCUCAGGAGCUUUCUGAUCAACUACAGAAGGAGCGGAAAGAGUUUGAGCAGAAGUUCACG